rnacentral:rRNA from 1 species
GAUGAACGCUGGCGGCGUGCCUAACACAUGCAAGUCGAGCGAUUUACUUCGGUAAAGAGCGGCGGACGGGUGAGUAACGCGUGGGUAACCUGCCCUGUACACACGGAUAACAUACCGAAAGGUAUGCUAAUACGAGAUAAUAUACUUUUAUCGCAUGGUAGAAGUAUCAAAGCUCCGGCGGUACAGGAUGGACCCGCGUCUGAUUAGCUAGUUGGUAAGGUAACGGCUUACCAAGGCGACGAUCAGUAGCCGACCUGAGAGGGUGAUCGGCCACAUUGGAACUGAGACACGGUCCAAACUCCUACGGGAGGCAGCAGUGGGGAAUAUUGCACAAUGGGCGAAAGCCUGAUGCAGCAACGCCGCGUGAGCGAUGAAGGCCUUCGGGUCGUAAAGCUCUGUCCUCAAGGAAGAUAAUGACGGUACUUG